rnacentral:rRNA from 1 species
AUUGAACGCUGGCGGCAGGCCUAACACAUGCAAGUCGAGCGGAUGAAGGGAGCUUGCUCCUGGAUUCAGCGGCGGACGGGUGAGUAAUGCCUAGGAAUCUGCCUGGUAGUGGGGGAUAACGUCCGGAAACGGGCGCUAAUACCGCAUACGUCCUGAGGGAGAAAGUGGGGGAUCUUCGGACCUCACGCUAUCAGAUGAGCCUAGGUCGGAUUAGCUAGUUGGUGGGGUAAAGGCCUACCAAGGCGACGAUCCGUAACUGAUCUGAGAGGAUGAUCAGUCACACUGGAACUGAGACACGGUCCAGACUCCUACGGGAGGCAGCAGUGGGGAAUAUUGGACAAUGGGCGAAAGCCUGAUCCAGCCAUGCCGCGUGUGUGAAGAAGGUCUUCGGAUUGUAAAGCACUUUAAGUUAGGAGGAAGGGCAGUAAGUUAAUACCUUGCUGUUUUGACGUUACCAACAGAAUAAGCACCGGCUAACUUCGUG